rnacentral:tRNA from 1 species
CAAGAAGUAAUUUAAGCAGAAUGUCUGCUUUGGGCGCCGACAGUGAAGAAAAUUUCUUCCUUCUUGA